GUGGCUAUGGCUCAGUGGCAGAGUGCUUGCCUUGCAUGCAUGAGGCACUGGGUUUGAUCCUCAGCACCAACA
rfam:Ictidomys tridecemlineatus contig078171, whole genome shotgun sequence.